AGAAACAGUUGAGCACAUUCAGCGCAGGUUCAGGACGAGCAGUGAACCUUAAACUACCAGCUCGCUGGUGAUUUCGGGUGGAGCGCCGGUGUUGGUGCACCAAAGCACACAUUAUCCUCUGCUCGGAGCCUUGAGGCUCUCGAGGAUGAGCAGCACAGUCUUUGGCCCUGUCUCUGUAAAACUGUCAGCAGAGUUAAAAACACGUUUCAUGAAAUGUGGUGAGCAGCAUCCUGUUUAACUUAAAAAAAACACAUUUAACUGGAGGAGGUCAGAAGGUUUGUGUUAAACAUGGAUUUGAUCUGCGACUGAAAGCAGACUGCGAUAAAGGCACUAAAACAAGUGAACAUGAGCGUCAGUUCGAGACAAACAGCUUCAGAACAGCCGACGAUGAACCCAGCGACGGUUUAUGGUGUAAACCAGGCGGUCGAGCGUGACGCUGCUUAUUCUCUUACAUGAUAACACACAGGUUGCAUUUUUCUUUAUUUGACUUCUUUAUAAAUAACAUAAAAUCCUUUUCAGACUUGUGCUGUGAGCAAACCCAUCAGCAGGUUCCCAUGGCGACAGUGGGUCGUACCCGAGCGACCCACUGUCUGCACAGACGCCGAGUCCUAAUGAACGGAAACGCUGAGACAGGAACGUCCCGUGUGCUCCGUGCGAAUAAAUCAGAGGCCAGGUCAUUAGCGGUGAUGAAGCUCGCCGCUGGCGGAGCACGCAUCCGAGCGGAGAGCAGCAGGAUGACGGCUUAAUCAGAAACCAGGUCGACGCCGAUCACAUGACCCGACACGCACACCUGCAGCAGAAACCUCGGAGCUACCUACCUUUAGGGCUGAGCGGGUCCCCCUCCAGGUAGAAGGCUCCUCGUCGAAGUGCUACCUCCUGGAGGAUGAUGCCGAAGCUGUAGACAUCUCCUUUCUGGGUUCCCUGAGGAGGAGGACACUCCAUCCUGAGCAGCUCUGGA